rnacentral:rRNA from 1 species
UCGGGAAUAUUGCACAAUGGAGGAAACUCUGAUGCAGUGACGCCGCGUGCAGGAAGAAGGUUUUCGGAUUGUAAACUGCUUUAGACAGGGAAGAAACAAGACAGUACCUGUAGAAUAAGCUCCGGCUAACUACGUGCCAGCAGCCGCGGUAAUACGUAGGGAGCAAGCGUUAUCCGGAUUUAUUGGGUGUAAAGGGUGCGUAGACGGGUAUAUAAGUUAGUUGUGAAAUCCCUCGGCUCAACUGAGGAACUGCAACUAAAACUGUAAAUCUUGAGUGCGGGAGAGGAAAGUGGAAUUCCUAGUGUAGCGGUGAAAUGCGUAGAUAUUAGGAGGAACACCAGUGGCGAAGGCGACUUUCUGGACCGUAACUGACGUUGAGGCACGAAAGUGUGGGGAGCAAACAGG